UACGUAGGGUGCGAGCGUUUAAUCGGAAUUACUGGGCGUAAAGCGUGCGCAGGCGGUUCGUUGUGUCGGCGGUGAAAGCCCCGGGCUCAACCUGGGAAUGGCCGUUGAAACUGGCGAACUGGAGUGUGGCAGAGGGGGGUGGAAUUCCGCGUGUAGCAGUGAAAUGCGUAGAGAUGCGGAGGAACACCGAUGGCGAAGGGCAGCCCCCCUGGGCUAACACUGACGCUCAGGCACGAAAGCGUGGGGAGCAAACAGG
rnacentral:rRNA from 1 species